rnacentral:rRNA from 1 species
UACGGAGGGUGCGAGCGUUGUUCGGAAUCACUGGGCGUAAAGCGCGUGUAGGCGGCCCACUAAGUCUGAUGUGAAAGCCCGGGGCUCACCCCCGGAAGUGCAUUGGAAACUGGUGGACUCGAGUCACGGAGAGGAGAGUGGAAUUCCUGGUGUAGCGGUGAAAUGCGUAGAUAUCAGGAGGAACCCCGGUGGCGAAGGCGGCUCUGUGGACGGUGACUGACGCUGAGACGCGAAAGCGUGGGGAGCAAACAGG